GUGCCAGCAGCCGCGGUAAUACGUAGGUGGCAAGCGUUAUCCGGAAUUAUUGGGCGUAAAGCGCGCGUAGGCGGUUUUUUAAGUCUGAUGUGAAAGCCCACGGCUCAACCGUGGGGGGUCAUUGGAAACUGGAAAACUUGAGUGCAGAAGAGGAAAGUGGAAUUCCAUGUGUAGCGGUGAAAUGCGCAGAGAUAUGGAGGAACACCAGUGGCGAAGGCGACUUUCUGGUCUGUAACUGACGCUGAUGUGCGAAAGCGUGGGGAUCAAACAGGAUUAG
rnacentral:rRNA from 1 species